rnacentral:lncRNA from 1 species
UUGGUUACCUUGAGCAUUAAGAUCAAAGGGAUGAAUUAUACAAUAAUCAUACGCCAGUAGAUUCUAGAAUAUUGCUUUACAAUCUUUCGACCUAUCCAGACAUCGGGUCUCAUUACUAGAUGGUUAUAUCAAUUAGUAUAAAAAUUUAUUUCUAUGCUACCAGCUUAGGUUCUAAUCUAUGGGGUUACACACAUUAGAAGAUUCGAUCUGAUC